AUGACACUUUUCAAUUCAGUAGACUUUCAUAUUCAGUUAAAGUUUAUUUUAUUUCAAAUUACAAAAAUCUUUCUAAUGGUUUUGAUUUCAGUAAGAAUAGUAAGCUGGUCUAACAGUGUGUUUUUGAGCGUUUGUGUUGUGUUUCUGCAGGGUCUCCUGGUGGCCGUAAUCUUCUGCUUCUGUAAUGGAGAGGUGCAGUCAGCACUGAGGCGUAAGUUUGCGCAGUAUCGCGGUCAGCGGAAGCGUCUGGUGACCACUGACUCUCACUGUAACUACCACACCAACUCGUCCUUCACCGAGACCAGCCGGGUCACCAUCAGCCUGGAGCACGGCCCAGCCAACACGAGCGACACCGCGCAUGCACUCAACAGCCAGAGCAACGGCAAACGCUGCUCCAGCGACGUCCUCGAGUCGACUGAAAUAUGAGCGUCUGUCUCAUCAUGCACACUAAUGCCACCAACUCUACUGUCUCUGAAUGUUCAAAACGUCCUGUUUUAAAAUGUUUUGGAAACUGGUUAUGAGAGCUUUAAGGGAACAUUCCAUUUUAUUGUAUAGCAAACGUUACGGGAAUGUUACUUUUGAAUGUUACUUUUGAACAUUCUGAAACAAACCAGGUUAUAAAAACGUGUCAAUGUUGUUUUGAAAUGUUUCUGAAACAUUUGAAUGUCCAGUAUUUGUGAUUACAACAUUAUUUAAAAGUUGCAAAAACAUUUCUUGCAACAUUUUACUAACUUUAUUUUGACCCAAUAUAUAACAAUAUUCGAAUGUUUAUAUUUAAAAUUCUAAGAACGUUCAAAUGUCCACUUGAUAACGUCAUUUAAAGGUUACUAAAACGUUACUUACAGCAUUCUCACCCAAAAUAUAACGAAAGUUUAUUUUUAAUAUUCUAAGAACAUUAAAGGUCCGUAUUUGUUGUUGUGAUUAGAAUGUUUUUUAAACGUUACAAAAACUUGUCCUACAAUGUUCUACUAACUUUCUUUUGAACUCAAAAUUUAACAUUAUUUACAUUUAUUAACAUUAGAUAGAAUCUAAGACCAUAAAAAUGUCCAGUUUUCUUGUCAUGAUUAGAACAUUUUUUAAAGGUUACAAAAAUGUUUCGUAGAAUGUUCAUCAAGUACAAACAUCAUCAUAAGGACAUCGCGGGAAAGUCGCUCAACAUUAUGAGAACUUGUAUCAAAUAUUAAUAAAGUUAACAGAACAUUCUGUAAACAUUACUUGAAAAACGUUGUGUCCUAACAUUUAUGUAACUUUUAAAAAAUGUUGGUGAAAGUUCUGAGAACGUUCUGUUAUCUGGGUUGUACUUCUUUAAUGUAGCGUAUGUUUGUUAUGGAUUAAUACAUGUAUUAGUGUUUUAUUUGUACAUUUAAACACAUCAGUCUGACCUCUUGCAGACAUGCGUGUGCUAUCUGGGGGAGGUUUGCGCGUUCAGUGGUGUAUGAGACGGAGCGGAAGGCAGAAUAUACCGGGACUUUUUGUAUGUAUAAAGAUAUGAUGCUGUAAAUACGCUGUUGUAUAAGCACUUGUGUUUUACACCGAAUGUAUCUGCUUCACGAGCCCUUUGAGAGGAGAUUUUAUGUUUCUGUGUUUUUAUGAUGUCCUGUCACAUUUGCUUCUUGUGGUUAUGAGAAAACACAAAGAGACAAAACAUUCCACUUUGACUUGUUAAUAUCAGAAAAUCACUAUUUGUGUAAUGAAUGCAGUGAAACUCAAAUGGCGUUAGUUACAGUACUACUGUACAUACGGAGGAAUUUGUGUUCAUCUUUUACAUAUACACUAAUACAAUCAGAUACAAUAAUUUCUCAAAUAUUUAUUACAGUACUGAUAAAUUGAACAUUAUCUUCAAUGGUGUGAGAGAAUGGAUUUCCUCUUGAACUGUCACCAACUGAACUGCAGUAAAACUAUUUCAAGUUUUAAGCUACAAACUCGAUCAUAAAACACAAUAUUUCCAUCUUACAUGUAUUUUGAGCUGCAGCUCGUCACGUUAAUGGAGUGUUUCACUAGUUAGCAGUAAACCGGUUACCUCACCUAUUUAUUAUAAAUAAACAUAUAACUUUUUACGUAACGUUCCCAUGUGACUCCAGUUAGGUUGUUUGAGGAGGAAACCAAAUAAUUGUUAUCUCUAGGUUUUCUUGUAACCAAAAACUAACCUUCCGGAACAGUUUGUUGUGAAAACCUAGACAACUUAUACAAAACAUUUUCUAAUGGUAAUUUUUAGGUUUUAUAAACAUGAACUAACCUUUCCGAAACAUUGCAGGGAGGUUUUUUGUUCUAACCUAAAGAGAACCUACACUCUCAGAAAAAAAAGGUACAAAAGCUGUCACUGCGGCGGUACCUUUUUAAAAGGUACACUUUUGUACCUUUUAGGUACUAAAAUGUACACUUUAGUAACUAAUAUGUAGCAUUAAGGUACCAAUAUGGACUUUUUAGGUACAAAGGUGUGCCUUUUGAAAAGGUCCCGCCCCAGUGACAGCUUUUGUACCUUUUUUUUCUGAGAGUGUGUAUAUAAGCUUAUUUUUAUGUUACAUUAUAGAUUAUUUUACCCUGUAUUUUUGCCCACAGCCUCUGCACCACAUUCUCUCUAGGUUUCCAGAGGAAGCUACACGUAUCCUUGUAACACAAACAGUCUGUGAAGUUUUCAUUUAUUUAUUUGAAAGGAGGAGACUUGAGUCAUGUACAGAUGCAUUGUUCAUGAAUGCAGAAUGAGUCACUCUUUAGAUGUGCUAUCCUCAGACUCAACUACAAGACGAACCGCGUUCUUGAACAGGACAUCCAAGCUUCUGCUGAAAUGUUCUCAUUUCUAAUCCACCUUGGCCUUUAUUAUAGCGCACAACAGACACACUUUGAGUCGCCCACGCAUUUGACGUUUCAGCAUAACCUUUUCAGGAUUUUAUAACCUGACAGCACUCGUCCAUCACAGAGACGUCUGCGAGACGUAUUUUAUUGAGUGUUGGCUGCACUACAUCUAUAGGACGUUUCCUAUCAGAUGUCAAAUGAACGUUUAGAGAUGUCUUCAAGAUGUUUAUGAUUUAUAAUGAAUGUAAAACUGACAUCUUAAAGACGUCUGUCAGAUGUUUGUACACAGCAGAUGCUUUCCAGAUCUUUAACAGACCUCCUGCAGACGUAUAAUGUGCUAUCUGGGUCGUAUUUUAUCUUUAACCACUAAAUGAUCUCAUAUUGAACUCUAUUCUAUAGAAUUCACGCUGUUUUAUUGAGUUCUUUUAUUUUCUUGAUCAUCGGAAAAGGACGAGGUCCCACCGAGAUUUGAACUCGGAUCGCUGGAUUCAAAGUCCAGAGUGCUAACCAUUACACCAUGGGACCGGCGCGUCACAAGCCCGAAAUAACGCUUUUAAAAAACAUAAUUAACUGAGCUGUGACCAUUUACAUUCGAAUGGACGUCUAAAAACACGUCCGCACUUUAUUAAAGAACAUAAAGAGACAUUACAGCAGCUGUUUCGCCCUAUAUAUUAAUCAUUCAGAAUUAGCAUCAAAGUCUAGCUUGCUUUUGUUUUGUUAUGUUGUUUUCUCUUCAUAAAGUGCUUCAAAUAAAUACAUUAUAUAUGAUUAAAAUUUAAAACUACUUGGGUUAUGAUACAGUAAUGGUUAAAAUAGGAAUAUCA
ensembl:lncRNA